GCAAGUCGAGUGGGUUUAGACCCACGGCGAACGGCGGAGUAACACGUUGGAACCUACCCCGAACUCAGGGAUAACCCGCCGAAAGGCGGAAUAAUACCGGAUGCCCUCGUAAGAGGAAAGAUUUAUCGGUUCGGGAGGGGCCUGCGGCCGAUCAGCUUGUUGGUAAGGUAAAAGCUUACCAAGGCUAUGACGGGUAACUGGUCUGAGAGGACGAGC
rnacentral:rRNA from 1 species